rnacentral:rRNA from 1 species
AUUGAACGCUGGCGGCAGGCUUAACACAUGCAAGUCGAGCGGAGAUGAGGUGCUUGCACCUUAUCUUAGCGGCGGACGGGUGAGUAAUGCUUAGGAAUCUGCCAAUUAGUGGGGGACAACAUUCCGAAAGGAAUGCUAAUACCGCAUAAGACCUACGGGGGAAAGUAGGGGAUCUUCGGACCUUGCGCUAAUAGAUGAGCAUAAGUCGGAUUAGCUAGUUGGUGGGGUAAAGGCCUACCAAGGCGACGAUCUGUAGCGGGUCUGAGAGGAUGAUCCGCCACACUGGGACUGAGACACGGCCCAGACUCCUACGGGAGGCAGCAGUGGGGAAUAUUGGACAAUGGGCGGAAGCCUGAUCCAGCCAUGCCGCGUGUGUGAAGAAGGCCUUUUGGUUGUAAAGCACUUUAAGCGAGGAGGAGGCUACCUGGAUUAAUACACUAGGAUAGUGGACGUUACUCGCAGAAUAAGCACCGGCUAACUCUGUGCCAGCCGCCGCCGUAAUAC